rnacentral:rRNA from 1 species
UGCGUAGGUGGCGGGGUAAGUCGGAUGUGAAAGCUCGGAGCUCAACUCCGAAAUGGCAUUGGAAACUACCUUGCUCGAGGGUUGGAGGGGGGACUGGAAUUCUCGGUGUAGCAGUGAAAUGCGUAGAUAUCGAGAGGAACACCAGUGGCGAAGGCGAGUCCCUGGACAACUCCUGACACUGAGGCACGAAAGCUAGGGGAGCAAACA